GAUGAACGCUGGCGGCACGCCUAACACAUGCAAGUCGAGCGAAUGGAUUAAGAGCUUGCUCUUAUGAAGUUAGCGGCGGACGGGUGAGUAACACGUGGGUAACCUGCCCAUAAGACUGGGAUAACUCCGGGAAACCGGGGCUAAUACCGGAUAACAUUUUGAACCGCAUGGUUCGAAAUUGAAAGGCGGCUUCGGCUGUCACUUAUGGAUGGACCCGCGUCGCAUUAGCUAGUUGGUGAGGUAACGGCUCACCAAGGCAACGAUGCGUAGCCGACCUGAGAGGUGUGUAGGCCACACUGGGACCUAGGCACAGCCCGGACUGCUACGGGAGGCAGCAGUAGGGGAUCUUCCGCAAUGGACGAAAGUCUGACGGAGCAGCGCCGCGUGAGUGAUGAAGGCUUUCGGGUCGUAAAACUCUGUUGUUAGGGAAGAACAAGUGCUAGUUGAAUAAGCUGGCACCUUGACGGUACCUAACCAGAAAGCCACGGCUAACUACGUGCCAGCCGCCGCAGUAA
rnacentral:rRNA from 1 species